AGGUUUACAAUAUACGUCAAAACAGAGCCCGACCCCCAAACAAAAAAGUGUGUCUGUGUCUUACGCAUCCUAAACACAAAGGCCUUUCAAAACCUAAUUUAGCUCAGGAUGUAGGCUGUAGGGGCUAAAAAGUCAAUCAGCCCAGCGAUGUCUAGACCGCCCCACCCCAGCAUCGAGGGGCUAGCCCCCCGGAGGUUGUAGAAUAUCAAAAGGGUCAUAAUGUUUAGACACCCCAAUCACUUUGUUUGAACCAAAUACCUUAGGAGUCAAAUAUACCUUGGGGGUAUAGCCCGAAAAAACGUCAACCCAAGGCUAUGUAAACUCAUUCCGUACUUUCUCUAGUUAGGGGCACAACCAAUAUUGACAAACGAUCCACUGUUACCACCGUUUUUAGCUCAGCUACACACCUCCAGGACCGCAGCUCCAGAAUUGUUAUCGGACUGACCCGUUAAAAAGAUAAUCUGGGAAACCCUCCUAAUGGAUCUUUCUGAAGGAUAUGCAACAUUAAGCCACCUGCAUCCCGGGGAUAAAGGAUAUGGAACCGCCUUCAUUAGAAUGGAAUUCCGAAGAGCAACGGAUGGACACAGAAUUUUACGAGAUAUCUAUAUGUCAACUGUAUGUAUUUUUUAUGAUAAAAUGUACACCCGACAUCGAAAAUCAUACAACCCUGGAGGACAUGAUCGAAACGGAAGGGGGACCCCCGGAACAUGAAGAGUAAAACAUUGAAUUCGGACGAUUUCCCCGCUUCAAAUGACAUUUCGGAGGUCUCUGAUUUGCGGUUGUUUGUGAUGGGCAGAAAACAGGUUAAGGAAAACUCCGAGGCUGAAACAACAUUCAGUCAUGCUAUUCUAAAACAGGAAGACAACGAUUUUUACAGAUAUUCAGAAACAGAAGGACAAUAAUUAUCAUUAUAAUUUGUUUUUUAAAUAUAUUUUUUAGGCCAUAUGUUAAAUGGACGUAUUCUUAUAAAUUAAAAUGUAUCUAUUUCGUAUAAAUACAUGUUAACAUUAUCUAACGUCUGUAUGAUACCCAGAGGCUACAGGGCCUAAGGGAUUGGGAACCGACAGAGUUAGACGGGGAUUCUCAGAAGCAAACUGCGUCAGGUCCUUUACGUGGCCCAUUCACUAAUACACUAUUUUCGGCGUAAGUCCCCCCACCCGACUACGGAAGAGCAGAUGAAACAGAGACAAUUCUGGGGGCUUAUACUGAAGGCCUUAUCCUAACUCCAAACACAAGCCAGCACCCCAGGACAGAUAAAACGAUAGACGGUGAAUCUGUCCUUCCUCAUGGAACUUUUUUGAAGGGGAGUUGAAUAUUAGAGGUGAUGUUUGUAUAUAUAUAUAUAUUAUCUAAGAAUGAUUGGUAUUAAUUCUAGGCAUUUACAGGUAUGUUUUUAAAAAUGAAGGCUAUUUAUACAAUGAAACAUUGUUUUUAUUCCUACUGUUUGUAAACAAUAGCUUCUGCCCCCUUAGGGUCUACUUGAACCGCUUAUUAAAUCAGACCUCUCAGACCAGAAAGUAUGAUUAGAAACCAUGGCAAACUAUAUUCAAUCUGUGAUUAGAAACGAUAAUUAGAAGCUAUGACAAAACUAUGAUCAAACUAUGAUAAUAAACUAUGAACAACUAUGAAGACAGG